UAUACAACUUUCAGCAACGGAUCUCUUGGCUCUCGCUUCGAUGAAGAACGCAGCGAAAUGCGAUAAGUAAUGUGAAUUGCAGAAUUCAGUGAAUCAUCGAAUCUUUGAACGCAAGUUGCGCCCGAAGCCGUCAAGCCGAGGGCACGUCUGCAUGGGCGUCACGC
rnacentral:rRNA from 1 species